rnacentral:RNase_P_RNA from 1 species
UAGGAAAGUCUACUACUGUUUUAUAAAUAUUGCUAUGUCAUUAUUAGUGGGGUAAAAACCUUGGUAUUAUACAGAAAAUAUAUUAAGUUAUACGUACUCGCAAAGCGCCACGUAUUAAAUAAAAAGCCAAUAUUCAGUAUUUUUUUAGUAAUAUAAACACCUACAUAAAUUAGCUUAU